rnacentral:tRNA from 1 species
UAAAUUGAACCAACUCGGGGAUGUAGCUCAGAUGGUAGAGCGCUCGCUUAGCAUGCGAGAGGUACGGGGAUCGAUACCCCGCAUCUCCAUUCGCUCUAUUUUUCAGCCACAUUUUUUCGUGGGCUUCGCC